GACGAACGCUGGCGGCGUGCUUAACACAUGCAAGUCGAACGGUGAAGCGCUUGCCUUUUUGGUGGGUGUGGAUGAGUGGCGAACGGGUGAGUAACACGUGAGUAACCUGCCCUCUUCUUCUGGAUAACCUCAUGAAAGUGGGGCUAAUACGGGGUAUUCCGGGUCUGUCGCAUGGCGGGUUUGGGAAAGAUUGCGCCUUUGGGUGUUUUCGGUGGGGGAUGGGCUCGCGGCCUAUCAGCUUGUUGGUGGGGUGAUGGCCUACCAAGGCGGUGACGGGUAGCCGGCCUGAGAGGGUGGACGGCCACACUGGGACUGAGACACGGCCCAGACGCCUGCGGGAGGCAGCAGUGGGGAAUAUUGCUCAAUGGGCGCAAGCCUGAUGCAGCGACGCCGCGUGAGGGAUGGAGGCCUUCGGGUUGUGAACCUCUUUCGCCAGUGAAGCAGGCCUGCUCCUGUGUGGGUGGGUUGACGGUAGCUGGAUAAGAAGCGCCGGCUAACUACGUG
rnacentral:rRNA from 1 species